ACGACGCUGGCGGCGUGGAUUAGGCAUGCAAGUCGGACGGUAGAGCUUUAUCGUAAGAUAGAGUUUGAGAGUGGCGAACGGGUGAGUAACACGUGAGUAACCUGCCCCAAUCAUCGGGAUAACCAUUGGAAACGAUGGCUAAUACCGAAUACGACCACCGAAGGCAUCUUCUGGUGGUGGAAAGCUCCGGCGGAUUGGGAUGGACUCGCGGCCUAUCAGCUUGUUGGUGAGGUAAUGGCUCACCAAGGCAACGACGGGUAGCCGGCCUGAGAGGGUGACCGGCCACACUGGGACUGAGACACGGUCCAGACUCCUACGGGAGGCAGCAGUGAGGAAUAUUGCGCAAUGGGGGCAACCCUGACGCAGCAACGCCGCGUGAGUGAGGAAGGUUUUCGGACUGUAAAGCUCUGUCGAGCGGGAAGAAGUGUACCAUGGCUAAUAUCCAUGAUAUUUGACGGUACCGCUAGAGGAAGCACCGGUUAACUCCGUG
rnacentral:rRNA from 1 species